rnacentral:rRNA from 1 species
CCUACGGGCGGCUGCAGUGGGGAAUAUUGCACAAUGGGGGAAACCCUGAUGCAGCGACGCCGCGUGAGCGAUGAAGUAUUUCGGUAUGUAAAGCUCUAUCAGCAGGGAAGAUAAUGACGGUAGCAGAGGAGGAAGCUCCGGCUAACUACGUGCCAGCAGCCGCGGUAAUACGUAGGGAGCAAGCGUUGUCCGGAUUUACUGGGUGUAAAGGGUGCGUAGGCGGCCCUGCAAGUCAGAAGUGAAAUCCAUGGGCUUAACCCGUGAACUGCUUUUGAAACUGUAGGGCUUGAGUGAAGUAGAGGCAGGCGGAAUUCCCGGUGUAGCGGUGAAAUGCGUAGAGAUCGGGAGGAACACCAGUGGCGAAGGCGGCCUGCUGGGCUUUAACUGACGCUGAAGCACGAAAGCGUGGGUAGCAAACAGGAUUAGAUACCCUAGUAGUC